rnacentral:rRNA from 1 species
GCUGGCGGCGUGCUUAACACAUGCAAGUCGAACGGAGUUGUCUCGCUGAUGAAGCUUCGGCAGAAUCCUGAGACAACUUAGUGGCGGACGGGUGAGUAACGCGUGGGUAACCUGCCCUUUACCGGGGGACAACAGUUGGAAACGGCUGCUAAUACCGCAUAAGCGCACAGCAUCGCAUGAUGCAGUGUGAAAAACUCCGGUGGUAAAGGAUGGACCCGCGUCUGAUUAGCCAGUUGGCGGGGUAACGGCCCACCAAAGCGACGAUCAGUAGCCGGCCUGAGAGGGUGAACGGCCACAUUGGGACUGAGACACGGCCCAAACUCCUACGGGAGGCAGCAGUGGGGAAUAUUGCACAAUGGGGGAAACCCUGAUGCAGCGACGCCGCGUGAGUGAAGAAGUAUUUCGGUAUGUAAAGCUCUAUCAGCAGGAAAGAAAAUGACGGUACCUGACUAAGAAGCCCCGGCUAACUACGUGCCAGCAGCCGCGGUAAUACGUAGGGGGCAAGCGUUAUCCGGAUUUACUGGGUGUAAAGGGAGCGUAGACGGUAUUGUAAGUCUGAAGUGAAAUGCUGGGGCUCAACCCCGGAACUGCUUUGGAAACUGUAGUACUAGAGUGCAGGAGAGGUAAGCGGAAUUCCUAGUGUAGCGGUGAAAUGCGUAGAUAUUAGGAGGAACACCAGAGGCGAAGGCGGCUUACUGGACUGUAACUGACGUUGAGGCUCGAAGGCGUGGGGAGCAAACAGGAUUAGAUACCCUGGUAGUCCACGCGGUAAACGAUGAUCACUAGGUGUUGGCAUCCAA